rnacentral:rRNA from 1 species
UAAAGAUUCAUCGCUGAUAGAUAGGCAUGCGUUCCAUUAGGCAGUUGGCGGGGUAACGGCCCACCAAACCGACGAUGGAUAGGGGUUCUGAGAGGAAGGUCCCCCACAUUGGUACUGAGACACGGACCAAACUCCUACGGGAGGCAGCAGUGAGGAAUAUUGGUCAAUGGGCGUAAGCCUGAACCAGCCAAGUCGCGUGAGGGAUGAAGGUUCUAUGGAUCGUAAACCUCUUUUAUAAGGGAAUAAAGUGUGGGACGUGUCCUAUUUUGUAUGUACCUUAUGAAUAAGGAUCGGCUAACUCCGUGCCAGCAGCCGCGGUAAUACGGAGGAUCCGAGCGUUAUCCGGAUUUAUUGGGUUUAAAGGGUGCGUAGGCGGCCUUUUAAGUCAGCGGUGAAAGUCUGUGGCUCAACCAUAGAAUUGCCGUUGAAACUGGGGGGCUUGAGUAUGUCUGAGGCAGGCGGAAUGCGUGGUGUAGCGGUGAAAUGCUUAGAUAUCACGCAGAACCCCGAUUGCGAAGGCAGCCUGCCAAGCCAUGACUGACGCUGAUGCACGAAAGCGUGGGGAUCAAACAGGAUUAGAUACCCUGGUAGUCCACGCAGU